GAUGAACGCUAGCUACAGGCUUAACACAUGCAAGUCGAGGGGCAGCAUUUCAGUUUGCUUGCAAACUGGAGAUGGCGACCGGCGCACGGGUGAGUAACACGUAUCCAACCUGCCGAUAACUCGGGGAUAGCCUUUCGAAAGAAAGAUUAAUACCCGAUGGUAUAAUUAGACCGCAUGGUCUUGUUAUUAAAGAAUUUCGGUUAUCGAUGGGGAUGCGUUCCAUUAGGCAGUUGGUGAGGUAACGGCUCACCAAACCUUCGAUGGAUAGGGGUUCUGAGAGGAAGGUCCCCCACAUUGGAACUGAGACACGGUCCAAACUCCUACGGGAGGCAGCAGUGAGGAAUAUUGGUCAAUGGGCGCAGGCCUGAACCAGCCAAGUAGCGUGAAGGAUGACUGCCCUAUGGGUUGUAAACUUCUUUUAUAUGGGAAUAAAGUUUUCCACGU
rnacentral:rRNA from 1 species